UACAGAGGGGGCAAGCGUUAUUCGGAUUUACUGGGCGUAAAGGGCGCGUAGGCGGCGCAACAAGUCACUUGUGAAAUCUCCGGGCUUAACCCGGAGCGGCCAAGUGAUACUGUCGUGCUAGAGUGCGGAAGGGGCUACUGGAAUUCUCGGUGUAGCGGUGAAAUGCGUAGAUAUCGAGAGGAACACCUGCGGCGAAGGCGGGUAGCUGGGCCGACACUGACGCUGAGGCGCGAAAGCUAGGGGAGCGAACGGG
rnacentral:rRNA from 1 species